rnacentral:rRNA from 1 species
AGCGAACGCUGGCGGCAGGCCUAACACAUGCAAGUCGAACGAACUCUUCGGAGUUAGUGGCGGACGGGUGAGUAACACGUGGGAACGUGCCUUUAGGUUCGGAAUAACUCAGGGAAACUUGUGCUAAUACCGAAUGUGCCCUUCAGGGGAAAGAUUUAUCGCCUUUAGAGCGGCCCGCGUCUGAUUAGCUAGUUGGUGAGGUAAAGGCUCACCAAGGCAACGAUCAGUAGCUGGUCUGAGAGGAUGACCAGCCACAUUGGGACUGAGACACGGCCCAAACUCCUACGGGAGGCAGCAGUGGGGAAUCUUGCGCAAUGGGCGAAAGCCUGACGCAGCCAUGCCGCGUGGAUGAUGAAGGUCUUAGGAUUGUAAAAUCCUUUCACCGGUGAAGAUAAUGACUGUAGCCGGAGAAGAAGCCCCGGCUAACUUCGUG